rnacentral:rRNA from 1 species
GACGAACGCUGGCGGCGUGCUUAACACAUGCAAGUCGAACGGAAAGGCCUGCUUUCCCUUGUGGAUUGCGGGUGCUCGAGUGGCGAACGGGUGAGUAACACGUGAGUGAUCUGCCCCCAACUUGGGUAUAAGCCUGGGAAACUGGGUCUAAUUCCCGAUAGGACUGCAGGGUGGUGCCUGUGGUGGAAAACGAUUUUCUAGUGGUUGGGGAUGAGCUCGCGGCCUAUCAGCUUGUUGGUGGGGUAAUGGCCUACCAAGGCGGCGACGGGUAGCCGGCCUGAGGGGGUGGACGGCCACAUUGGGACUGAGAUACGGCCCAGACUCCUACGGGAGGCAGCAGUGGGGAAUAUUGCACAAUGGGCGGAAGCCUGAUGCAGCGACGCCGCGUGGGGGAUGACGGCCUUCGGGUUGUAAACUCCUUUCGACCGCGAGGAAGCCACCUGGUUGGAAGGGUGGUGACGGUAGUGGUAGAAGAAGCACCGGCUAACUACGUG